GUGGUCGGUUCAGCAGCACAGAUAUUAAAAUUGGAACAAUACAAAGAUUAGCAUGGCCCCUGGGCAAGCAUGGUAUGGAAAUUUGUGAAACGUUAUAUUAAAAA
rnacentral:snRNA from 1 species